UUUUUUUCUGUUGCACAUUUUUCUUUCUGAAGGAGAAGUUAUCCAUUUGAAGUCAAGUUUUAACCAAUAUUUAGAAGGGGAAUCAAAGUUUUCCUUACUCUUUAUUUAUGGUGAAGAAAACUAUAUUAUUGCACCAGCUGGUUCUUAGUCCCAGUGACCUCUUAAGUCCAGUUAUGCCCCAUACUAACUUUUCUCUUCUUCCUAUUCUCAACAAAAGGAAAUGAGAUGAACUGAUGACUGGAUCAUGACUAAUCUUGAAAUAAACUUACUUGAGUUGUUUGAACCUUCAGAACAGAGAAUAUCCAAGCAUGCCAUUAAUGUGUUAACCGUCAG
rnacentral:misc_RNA from 1 species